GAUUUGUUUCGCAAUCGGCUUCUUGUGUGCUAUUUGAUAAUUUGGGAAAAUUAAGCCCUAACAUCGAUGGAGAUGCCUCUCAUCGUCGGUUCAACGACGUUCCUCGUCGGAGAUUUCUCAGAUAAGUUCAUUUUUAUUCAUUCUCUUGUUGUUGCUUUACUGAUAAUCAUCAACUACCGUUGCUACUGUUGUUAAAAUGUUUGUUAAUUUUGCAGUGAGACUGAAGGAAAGGAGUAGAAGAACAGGAGAUUCCCCUUAACGACGGCGUUUUACAGGCAAAAGAGGGCAAUUUUGCAAAUUGGUCUCACCAAGCUGUGGACUUCAUUUUAGGUUAGUUAACUCUACCCAAAUGCUAUUUAAAGUCUUUGCCCUGAAGCAUCAUUGAGGAAUCUAUUAACAGAGGGAAAGAGCAAGAAGUCAUUGAAGGAAUAAUCAGCAGCUUAAUUGUGCACUUGGUUAAAAGAACGUGUUCCUCCCUGAACGAAGAUGCGAUGUUACCUUUAUUGAUGACAAUUCUCAAUUCUGCAUUCAAUGCCUGAUCCGCAAGCUUGCAAGUGAAGCCUAUAUUGAACAGUGUGUCGUAUUCUCAGUAUCCCAAAGAAUUUCUGUAGUAGCAGAAAGCUUGCUUUUCUCAGAUCCAUUUGAUGCUGCUUUCCCCAGUAUGCACGAGUGCAUGUUUCUAAUGAUCCAGCUUAUUGAGUUUCUAAUAUCAGAUUACUUAUUAACCUGGUCAAACAGUGAAUUUUUGACAAAAUGCUUUUUGAAGAGUGGGUUAAAUCAGUCCUCCAAGCGAGAAAAGCAGCAGAACUUUUGGAAAGCAGAAAUGGGCUUUAUGUUCUAUAUAUGGAUUGAGUCACCGGAUUGUUGGCUUAACAAGUUGGUCAGGUUUCAUCACUCCACAAACUCAACCCAAAUCUUCUUGAUAUACUUUUUCUUUAAUGUUA